AUCGCUAUAAACUCCAAUAAACAUGUGUCGAACUUAUGUUGUCACUCGGACGCUUCCUUGUAAAACGUAUAUUGAAGUUAAGCGCUGUGAUGAUCUCGACCUCGACAUGAGUUUACUAACAACAGACGAUAUUCCCGUACUUUAAUCUGAAUUAUUUGAAAUCGUGAACAUAAAAAGAAAACGUGCAUUGGUCGGUUCCUCGUCUGAAAAUACAUCCAUAUUAAACAAUAGGCGUAUGACAGACGAGGCCAAAACCUCUGGUCAGAUUACAUGUUUAUCGUUCGGUUCACCUAUGACCUCGUUUGUUUACCUUGCUCCCGAGAUGUGACGAGAGUGCUCCUCGAGCUCGUGCGAUCUAAAUGUGCACGAUGCAAGUAUUAAAUACUGUAAUAUUUAUCUUAAAAGUAUGACACAAUAGAAGUUUAUGAUUUAGAAUAAAAAACACGCACAAGUAAAAAUGAAUCGUGUUAAUCUCUGGCAGUAAAAUAUUUAUCCCAUGAUGCAACACACACGAGUUUAGCGGGAAGUCUGAUAGCCAUGUUUGAAUUCACCGGAUGUUUAUUUCCAGAAGAAAAGUAUAAACAAACACGACGAUAGCCUAAAAACGAAGUUUGUUUCCAGUCUUACUGAAGAAGAUCGACUUACUUCAAGUUACCGACGAAUGAAUAUCAGCUUUCUCGUUGUUUUUGACGACCGAUGCAUAUUUUUACCGACAAACAUCGUUACGAGACAGGGGUUUUGAUGAUUAAUUUAUCACAGAUUACACGGCCGAAGGAAACGCAGUACCGAUCCAUGUGUUACAAUCAGACUGAGUCUUCAUGCAGUACAUUCUGGAAUGAGGAACACCGCAUGCAUUAAUUGUGGUCCAAAUUGAUGGCAUUGACUUAACACAAAGCAGAAAGGAAUGAAGAGAAAUGAAGAAGUUUAUGUUUCACAUUAAUUAAGAUUAUUCGAGAUAUGUUAUCUGUCGAGUUUACGGACACACAUGAAAACAGUUUCCAGUACAUCUGGGCUACUUCGAGGAAACUACGUAUACUGUCUGAAAUCAGUCUUGUGCGUCGGUGACAAAAUGUAUACAUAUCCUACUAUAACUCUGCUGGAAAAUAUUAUUUUGUACUAUUUUCCUACUAUUUUAGAAAAAAA